CAUUUAGUUAUCGAAUCGUGAAAUUAAUCCACUUUGGUAGGCGCCAUGUUUGGGGAACCUAAAGUUAUACAUUCUUCCUUUGUAGAACUAGAAAAUUUUGAAAUCAUGCACAAAUUUUGGUUCUUGUUUGAGUUACUUCUUGUCUGUCUUCCGGUUCGCAUAGCUACGAUCUACCCUUUUAGUGAUUAAUUGAUUACAUGAUGCAAACCCUUAGGACAUGAUAUCUGUAAUUAUAUUAUAGAUUGUGAAUCUUUAUCUGAAAUAUUACCAUGGUAUGGUAAAUCGAACAAUUUGUUGGAAUUGUAGUGAGUUCACAAACAUUUUCUCUUAUACACAGCAUAAUAUCACAAAAAUGAUUGAAAGGAAGCAAAUGCUUAGAACCCAAAAUUUUUAUGUCUUAUAAGAGCUAUCUCUGCCUUUGGGCGUCUAGAGAGAUUGUCAGGGUUGAAAGUUUCUAAUGACUUUUAUAUUUAGUGUUUUGUGCCACUAAUUUGUCAGAAUUAAAUGAGAUUUGUUGAUGGUGAGAUUAGACGCCAGCAUUAUUUUAAGCAAACUGCAUCUUAUACUAUGCAACCAUGAAAAUUAUCGCUGCAUCAAACUUGUUUUCCUUGUAGUUCAUUAAUGUUCUUUUUUAAACUAUUCCUGCUAUAGAUCAGCAAUAUGAUCUAGUCAGUUUCUAAGUGAUUUUUCUAAGUUUUACAUUGAUUCUGUUGAACUCGUAUGUUAUUGAUUCCUAUUUCAUCUGUUCAAUUUCUUCUAAUUUACUGAUGGCCAUUUCUUAUCUCAUUAAGAAGUUUCAAAAUGGAAUUUCUGUUAACUUUUAGCACAUUAGAUGAAUGAUCUCCACAAUUCUGGGAUAAUUUUCUAUAUAGUUCAUCGUUUUACUAAUUGGUGCUCGAGAUUCUCAAGAAAAUUUAUAAAAUAGAAUUCAACAGUGUGCGUGUUGUAUCAAACUUUAGGAAUAAUGAUUCCUUUGUGGAAUCUAAUCUUAGCUAAUCCACCAUGAACCUCUGCCUCUCUGAUGCGACACUUCUACUGUGUGUUGGUGUCAUUCUUUUCAUGUUCUAAUUGAACCGAUCACAUUGUCUUGCCUGCUUUAAUACAGGAAUUGAUAAAAAAUGCUUGUUCAUGUUACCUAUUUCUACCUCGUCUCGAUCAGGAAGGAUAUUAGGUUGAUAAGAGUGUAGAAGAGCCAAAUACGAAUAGAUGUUUAAUCUUUAAGAGUCUCUCAACUUGUGGAUAAUUGUUGAAUCACACGAUACUGUAUUCUCUUAUGUAUUACUAAAACAGAGUAUGCCUAACUCACAAUAUUUAGGUUACCAUUCCUAGCGAUUCAUUUGAAGUCGCGUUCUUCUUUAUGUGCAUGUGCUAAAAACAUGAACACUAAGGAUUUUGUUGGGAUCACAUAUGUGACAACCAACAAAUUGGAUUCGAGACCCCCAAGUCUCACCUUUGCCAUAUGCGAUGAUGUCUGAAUAAAACUCACACUAUAGUUAUCUUUAACAGAAUAUCUGAUCAGAUCAUGAUGUUCCGAUUAGUAAUGUCGAUGAAUGUUAUUGGCAGAUUUUUAUUUGCUUUUUUACCUGAUGUUCAAUGUCAAAUAUGCAAUUCACUCAUCUAAACAGGUAGAAACUUUGGGAGAACAUGUUCUGUAGGCAACCAGCUAGUGAAUGCGAGGCUGAUGGCAAAAGUCUUACUUGCCAAAUAGAAGCUCAAACUUGCUAAGCUUCCAUGUUUCCGAUGCAAAUGAAUCUACGAAAAGGCAUGGCUUCAAGAAGUAUUGCCUUUUCCUAUUAUGUUCUUGAAGCGAACAAAAGGGGCAGCAGCUCAAGCAUCCGUUGGGUCUCUGAAAUGGAGAGGGACAAAAUGACAUGCACAUCGAUUACGUUUUAGGUCUUAUUCAAGUACAUUGAAUCGAGAAAGUAAGGAACACUACAUCAAACUUAAGCUUCUUCAUCUUGUACUAAUGGUUUGGAGUUUCCUCAGUGUAUCAACACUUCACUUCACAGUGGGCGUCGUUGCGAAGGACCCAGACCUGAUCUUUCUCCUUGAGCUCUGGAUAAACUCUGCGGCCUUGUUGUUGAUGGUCUUCGUCCUCGUCACCGCUGCAGUCGGUGGCGCUGGCUGCGGUUCAGCCACUGCUGCCGGUGGUGCUGGCUUGGGAACUGCUUUCUCUGGAGCUCUUGGCACUGUUGUACUCCCUGGUUUGUAGGUAGUGGCAAGGGGAGGAGGUGGAACUGGAAGAGGUAUAGGCUUAUCUGUCGUUGGAGGUGGUGGGUCAACCUUCUGAAGCUGUUCUUUUGCCGUUGCUGCUCGCAGAGGCUUUGCCGACGGAGGCAGGGCGAUGGCAUCGGGUUCUGGUAGUUUAGCUGGUUUUGGCUUCGUUGCAGUAGCAGGACUGUGAUCGGUCUUGAGGCCGUUCAUGCCAUAGUCGGAGUGGUCGGCGGUGGCGGGUUGCUUGUGGAAAGUUAGGCGACGGAGCGGCCGAAAUGCUGCAUUGAAGCUGAGGGCAUUGAAGAGCCUUUCGCACACGCCCAACGGCUUGGAGUCUGCUGCAUCCUUUGCCAUUGGAGAGUUGGUAUGCUGAAGACUGGAGAUUUUGGGUGAGCGAGCGAGUUUUAAUAGCCCUUGAUGACCCUUUUGAGAGAGAGAGAGAGAGAGAAUAUAGUAAUGCAUGGUGUGCCGGUGAGGUAUAUGCUGGAAGAGAGAGAGAGAGAGAGGGAUGGCGUAGAAACGAAGUGGGAACGAAAGCGUAUCGCUUUGCUUUCUUUUGUGAGAUGCCAAGAAAUUUUUGCUC